GGGAUUAUAGUUAAAUGGCAUAACGUAUCGUUCGCAACGAUAAAUUGCAAGUUCGAUUCUUGCUAGUUCCACCA
rnacentral:tRNA from 1 species